rnacentral:rRNA from 1 species
UGGGGAAUCUUGCACAAUGGGCGAAAGCCUGAUGCAGCCAUGCCGCGUGAAUGAUGAAGGCCUUAGGGUUGUAAAAUUCUUUCAACGGUGACGAUAAUGACGGUAGCCGUAGAAGAAGCCCCGGCUAACUUCGUGCCAGCAGCCGCGGUAAUACGAAGGGGGCUAGCGUUGUUCGGAAUUACUGGGCGUAAAGCGCGCGUAGGCGGACUAUUAAGUCAGAUGUGAAAUCCCGAGGCUCAACCUCGGAACUGCAUUUGAAACUGUUAGUCUAGAGGUCAGGAGAGGUUCGUGGAAUGCCGAGUGUAGAGGUGAAAUUCGUAGAUAUUCGGUGGAACACCAGUGGCGAAGGCGACGAACUGGACUGAUACUGACGCUGAGGUGCGAAAGUGUGGGGAGCAAACAGG